GGAUAUAGCUCAGUGGUAGAGUGCGUGCUUAGCAUGCACAAGGUCCUGGGUUCAAUCCCCAGUACCUCCA
rnacentral:tRNA from 1 species